rnacentral:lncRNA from 1 species
CUUCAUAUGGCACGAUUGCCUGGAGGGCUUCCUGAUGCUCUUCUACAGCUGCAGCACUAGCCUCAUCCCUGAAGCCUCCUAGUUCCUUGUUGAGCCUCUUGCUCCUACGGACAAACUUCACAUCUAGCGGCUCCUUCAACUUCUUGGUGCGACACUUGCGCAGGGUUAUCUUAGGCUUUGGCUCAUCAAUGAUCAUAAGAUCCUCCUCCUGUGGAGCUUUGUCCUCGGCCUCAGCCAUCCCCAC